GACGAACGCUGGCGGCGUGCUUAACACAUGCAAGUCGAACGGAAAGGCCCUUCGGGGUGCUCGAGUGGCGAACGGGUGAGUAACACGUGGGUGAUCUGCCCUGCACUUUGGGAUAAGCCUGGGAAACUGGGUCUAAUACCGAAUAGGACCAUGCUCUUCAUGGGGUGUGGUGGAAAGCUUUUGCGGUGUGGGAUGGGCCCGAGGCCUAUCAGCUUGUUGGUGGGGUAAUGGCCUACCAAGGCGACGACGGGUAGCCGGCCUGAGAGGGUGACCGGCCACACUGGGACUGAGAUACGGCCCAGACUCCUACGGGAGGCAGCAGUGGGGAAUAUUGCACAAUGGGCGCAAGCCUGAUGCAGCGACGCCGCGUGAGGGAUGACGGCCUUCGGGUUGUAAACCUCUUUCAGCAGGGACGAAGCGAAAGUGACGGUACCUGCAGAAGAAGGACCGGCCAACUACGUGCCAGCCGCCGCGGUAAAAC
rnacentral:rRNA from 1 species